GGAGAAGUGAUUGACAGGACAGAGGGACGACUGAAUCCACAGUGGAGACCUCGCCGCCUAAGGAAGGAUGGAGGAGCACACAGGUGAAGGGAGAAAAGAAGUGAAACGCUUUCAGCACCCACGUUUCAGGUCAAAGUGACAUUUUAUUUCUUCGCCCCCACUGCCUAACAGGGUAGGGAUUAUUUCUCGCAUGUUACAGAUGAGGAACUGAAUUCAGGCAGGUGCCCAAGGCUACACGGUGCUUCCUGGCGGAAUGAGGAAUCUAGCUGGAGUCUGGCUUCCUCAAAACCCCUGGCCCCUGUAAACCUGCUGCCUCCAGCCCAGCUCAAAUCAUUGAUAUUCUGAUUGCAGCUCAUCAUAAACGGUAUUUACUCAAGUCCCACUGCUAAGGAUUAUUGAAGGAGAGGAAAAGAUCUUUUGAAAAUACCCUGUAACUCACAUUUUACCUGCCAGAUGGAACAGCCACAUUCCUGCAAAAAGAUCUCUUUGGUGUCUGGCUAACUAGAAGACCACUGGAUUCUGGCAUCGGAUUCUGCCUUGCAAAUUUCUGGCAACAGGCACUGGUCACCUAAGCCUGUUACCUGAGAGCCAUCUUCACUCUACCAAUGAGCGGGUCACCAAGUUCGGCUGAAUAGUCUGCCUGGCUUAUCUUCUGCCUGCCACUCACCAGCCCCAUGUCAGCAUCACGCAGGUGGCCAGUUUUCUUUUACAACUUGGUGGACUCAAAAAGAUGCGCAACCUAAAAGUUGAGAGUCAUGUGUUUAUUCAGUGGACAAAACUGAAGCCUUAAACCCAGGAGGCAGCAUCUCAAGUAACCCCAAAACGCCGCUCUGAGGAGGCAAGAGGAAGCUAGGGUGUACAGGGAAGACAGUGGCAACAGACAAUCACUGUUAAUAGAGGAAACCAGAUAUCUCAAGUUAAGGAAUUUAGUGAUUUUCUCCAAAUGGGAAGAUGCAACGUUCUGGGCUCACUGAGAUCUUUCCUUUGCGGUACACCUCGGGUCUCUGGGGCCAGGGUCCUGUGUUCUCACAUCCUGGGGAGUGGCUGCAGUCUGAUGGCUGCUGGACAGCAGGUGUCUAUGCUUCCUUCCUGCCUCCCUCAGGGCUCCCCUGGAGGUGGCUGCCAUCGCUGAUGACUGAGACAUCUUUGUUUAUGGAUAAGGCAGGCGCUAUUUUAUGUCUCAGGUACCAAGUGGGACCCCGAAGUCUGGCUAACCCUGACUUCACGUGUUCUCAGGGUGUAGGUUACAAUCUUACGGGUCUUGGGUGUCUAAGCCUCACCCAACAGCAUCACAGGGUGGAGCGUUGCGGAGGGGAUGGCAGAGAGAAAAGGGACCAAGGAACAUUCCAUCAGCUUCCACCUGUGCUGCACUCAAGCUCUU
rnacentral:lncRNA from 1 species